UCACGGGAGUUACCCUCACGAGGGUAACCCUAGUAGCCCUUGUGAGGGCAACUCUCGUGACCCUCGUGAGGGUAACUGUCGUGA
rnacentral:pre_miRNA from 1 species